rnacentral:rRNA from 1 species
UACGAGGGGGGCGAGCGUUGUUCGGAAUUAUUGGGCGCAAAGGGUGCGUAGGCGGCCUGACAAGUCUGAUGUGAAAUCCCUGGGCUCAACCCAGGGCCUGCAUCGGAAACUGUCGGGCUUGAGUAUGGGAGAGGUGAGUGGAAUUUCCGGUGUAGCGGUGAAAUGCGUAGAUAUCGGAAGGAACACCUGUGGCGAAAGCGGCUCACUGGACCAUUACUGACGCUGAGGCACGAAAGCUAGGGGAGCAAACAGG